UACGUAGGGGGCAAGCGUUGUCCGGAUUUAUUGGGCGUAAAGAGCGUGUAGGCGGUUUGGUAGGUCCGCUGUGAAAACUCGAGCUCAACCUCGAGACGCCGGUGGAAACCAUCAGACUAGAGUCCGGAAGAGGAGAGUGGAAUUCCUGGUGUAGCGGUGAAAUGCGCAGAUAUCAGGAGGAACACCGAUGGCGAAGGCAGGUCUCUGGGCCACUACUGACGCUGGAGAAGCGAAAGGCGUGGGAGCGAACAGG
rnacentral:rRNA from 1 species